ensembl:ncRNA F40D4.16 ncRNA
GUCGUCUUUGCUGGGUCUUUGUGUGAGACCCUCCCAAAAUAAUGAUUUUUGCUAGAUUUAUCGAAUUUUUACGAAUUUUUCCUGUAAGAAAAUGUAUCUGAAGCUCAAAUAACACAUUUGAAAAAUGAAAUUGGCGAUUCUGCAUCGAUUUCCGUGCGUUUUAAAAGAAUUUUUCGCAAUAAAUGCAGAAUAAUAAGGAAUGUGGAGAUUUUGUAUUGACUUCCGAGCGUUUGGAUCUGAAAUAUGUAAUUCCUCGUACGAUAACAUGGAGGGCCCCAACAACCUGAGUAUUCUGGAUCUUGGCGGUAAUAUCAAAAAGGACUGACCUCCUCAAAUAAUUCUAACAUCAUUUCUUCCGUAUAAUAAAGAGUAUUUGAUA